GACGAACGCUGGCGGCGUGCUUAACACAUGCAAGUCGAGCGGUAAGGCCCUUUCGGGGGUACACGAGCGGCGAACGGGUGAGUAACACGUGGGUGACCUGCCCUCAGCUCUGGGAUAAGCCUGGGAAACCGGGUCUAAUACCGGAUAUGACCUCAUGACGCAUGUUGUGGGGUGGAAGCCUUGUGCGGCUGAGGAUGGGCCCGCGGCCUAUCAGCUUGUUGGUGGGGUGAUGGCCUACCAAGGCGACGACGGGUAGCCGGCCUGAGAGGGCGACCGGCCACACUGGGACUGAGACACGGCCCAGACUCCUACGGGAGGCAGCAGUGGGGAAUCUUGCGCAAUGGGCGAAAGCCUGACGCAGCGACGCCGCGUGAGGGAUGAC
rnacentral:rRNA from 1 species